UCUAAAGACCCUUCACAAAGGCAUUUCUAUGAAAUCGCUCGUUUGUGGUGUGCCCUUCACAAUGAGGACGCAGCUGGGCAAGGCCCAGGGGAUUAUGGAGGAAGGGAAACUGAAGCUUUUCUUCUGAUUUUCAACAGUAUUAUGUUUGUACAGCUCAUUCAGAGAGGAGGAUGGGCAUCCAAGACACUCUGUAUGGAGUUUAUCUUCUUCUUGACAAAAAUAGCCAUUUGGACAAGAAACUGUUCUUGCCUGGACUGCUUGAAAAAAAAUGUAUCUACUGGACAUGCAGGACCCAUAGGAAGAUGACCACUGAACUUUGCUUGGCAAAAUGGUCCUUCAGGUUCCUGCUUCACAGAGAAAACUGCCAGACAUUCUACAGGACACAGAGAGAAAUGACUGAGAGACUCUAGGCCUAUGGGCUAAAGACAGAUGCCCCAACUUUACAAAGGAACUUUGGAUAGCUGUCCAGGCUGCCAGCUGUUUCUGUCUACUCUCGCAAGACUCCUGAAAGAUGCUUGCAUCCUUCUUCCAUUUCUCUGUAUAUCCUUCUGAGGUCUUUGAUGUAGUUGAAGACUAGAGAUAGUUAUAAUUUUCCUUGGUUAUGAUAAAAGAUAAGUUAGAUAUGAAACCUUAGACUCACAAAUAUAAGAUAGAUAGGAUAUCUUCUUUAAUUUUGCCAAAUGGACUAGUUAUUAUAAAUAGACUAGAUAUUAUAACUGUAAUUUUUGCUUGAUAAUUGUUUUGUUAUCUGUAAUUUUACUACGUGAAGUUAAAACCCUUUUUGAAAAAAAUAAAAGGGGAAGUGCUGUGGGA